UUUUGGCAUUUUAACGGUACACACAUGCGAUGAGUUUAUAUUUCAUAUUAUAAUUAUUUUUAUAUUAAUUAAACUCUUCUGGUCUUCUUUUCACUUGCAUGCACUGUAAUUUCCGCAAUUAGUUAAUUGAUGAAGCUAAACCAACCAAAUUAAAACAACUUAUAAAAACUUCCUUUUAAUUAAUUUAAGUUUAAUCGCUUUCUUUGUGAAUUGCGUUUUUUUUUUUUGUUUUUUGCGAAGCGGUCUUCUCUUUUUGUAAUCUACUGCAAUUGCUCCCGUCGUCGCCGCGGCACGUCACGUCACCAGAAGGUACUACACGAUAAGCGAACGCACCAACGACCACCACCAGCCAAAGCGCGACCGUCGAAAGCGAAUGUUUUAUUAUAAAUAAACACACGAGUUGCACCCAUUUAGCAACACCGACAUCAACAAUAACAGCAGCGGCAGCAGCAACAUCAUAAACUAUACUGUCGUGUUGCUCAGGCCCCAAACGUUUCUAAGGCGCACAUAGAAAUUUUGCAAGUAGCUGAAGACCGUAGUGAAGAAGCGAGGCGUUGUGACACCCAAUGCGGCACAGACCGUCGGAAAAGCUGAGCGAGCGCGGCCGCCGAUAUCGCUGUGAGCGGCAAGACAGCCAAUGGAUUGUUGAUAGCGGCGCGGCCGUUGCUCAGCGCUGUGCCGCAGGUUGUUAGCUGUAAGCGUUGCGCUGUGAGUGGCAGUCGUCGCUGCAUUAACUGAGGCAGCCUCAGCGGUUCCAAGCGGUUCCGUGCACCGUUUACUUAUAUAUUUAUAAUCUACUUGUGGAACUUAUAUUAAGGUAGAGUACCCCUAUUAUUUUCGCCAGCUUAAAACGAUGUCAACGAAAACGAAAUAGCAUUCACGCCAUCAUUCUAGAGAACGCAAUAAACACAAUUUAAUCGUAUCUACUUAUUAAAUAUCGUUGUAUGGUGACUAACGAUUUAAACCUAUGUUCAUAUAAAGUUUUUUGGGCUUUGUAAUAAGCCAAUGGGUUCGUCAGUAGUCUUUCUGCCGCCAGUGUAGUAAAAAAACUAUUAUUAAAAAUGUUAUUAAAUAACAAGUAAUUAAAUUAAAAUAGUCAAAAUAAAAAUUUAAACGAAAUAUAAUAACAAAAAAAAAAAUUAUUAAAAGAAAAUUAAUUACUAUUAAAAUUAUAAUAAUUAAAAAUCAUAUUAAAAAUUUUGGUUUUAAUUAAAAAAAAAUGU
rnacentral:lncRNA from 1 species